AGUCGAGCGGAGAUGAGGUGCUUGCACCUUAUCUUAGCGGCGGACGGGUGAGUAAUGCUUAGGAAUCUGCCUAUUAGUGGGGGACAACAUUCCGAAAGGAAUGCUAAUACCGCAUACGUCCUACGGGAGAAAGCAGGGGAUCUUCGGACCUUGCGCUAAUAGAUGAGCCUAAGUCGGAUUAGCUAGUUGGUGGGGUAAAGGCCUACCAAGGCGACGAUCUGUAGCGGGUCUGAGAGGAUGAUCCGCCACACUGGGACUGAGACACGGCCCAGACUCCUACGGGAGGCAGCAGUGGGGAAUAUUGGACAAUGGGGGGAACCCUGAUCCAGCCAUGCCGCGUGUGUGAAGAAGGCCUUAUGGUUGUAAAGCACUUUAAGCGAGGAGGAGGCUACUGAGACUAAUACUCUUGGAUAGUGGACGUUACUCGCAGAAUAAGCACCGGCUAACUCUGUGCCAGCAGCCGCGGUAAU
rnacentral:rRNA from 1 species